GGGUUGUGAGGUUAAGCGACUAAGCGUACACGGUGGAUGCCCUGGCAGUCAGAGGCGAUGAAGGGCGUGCUAAUCUGCGAUAAGCGCCGGUAAGGUGAUAUGAACCGUUAUAACCGGCGAUACCCGAAUGGGGAAACCCAGUGUGAUUCGUCACACUAUCAUUAACUGAAUCCAUAGGUUAAUGAGGCGAACCGGGGGAACUGAAACAUCUAAGUACCCCGAGGAAAAGAAAUCAACCGAGAUUCCCCCAGUAGCGGCGAGCGAACGGGGAGGAGCCCAGAGCCUGAAUCAGCAUGUGUGUUAGUGGAAGCGUCUGGAAAGGCGCGCGAUACAGGGUGACAGCCCCGUACACAAAAGCGCAUGUGCUGUGAGCUCGAUGAGUAGGGCGGGACACGUGGUAUCCUGUCUGAAUAUGGGGGGACCAUCCUCCAAGGCUAAAUACUCCUGACUGACCGAUAGUGAACCAGUACCGUGAGGGAAAGGCGAAAAGAACCCCGGCGAGGGGAGUGAAAAAGAACCUGAAACCGUGUACGUACAAGCAGUGGGAGCACAGGUUUACCUGUGUGACUGCGUACCUUUUGUAUAAUGGGUCAGCGACUUAUAUUCUGUAGCAAGGUUAACCGAAUAGGGGAGCCGGAGGGAAACCGAGUCUUAACCGGGCGUUAAGUUGCAGGGUAUAGACCCGAAACCCGGUGAUCUAGCCAUGGGCAGGUUGAAGGUUGGGUAACACUAACUGGAGGACCGAACCGACUAAUGUUGAAAAAUUAGCGGAUGACCUGUGGCUGGGGGUGAAAGGCCAAUCAAACCGGGAGAUAGCUGGUUCUCCCCGAAAGCUAUUUAGGUAGCGCCUCGUGAAUUCAUCUCCGGGGGUAGAGCACUGUUUCGGCUAGGGGGCCAUCCCGGCUUACCAACCCGAUGCAAACUGCGAAUACCGGAGAAUGUUAUCACGGGAGACACACGGCGGGUGCUAACGUCCGUCGUGAAGAGGGAAACAACCCAGACCGCCAGCUAAGGUCCCAAAGUCAUGGUUAAGUGGGAAACGAUGUGGGAAGGCCCAGACAGCCAGGAUGUUGGCUUAGAAGCAGCCAUCAUUUAAAGAAAGCGUAAUAGCUCACUGGUCGAGUCGGCCUGCGCGGAAGAUGUAACGGGGCUAAACCAUGCACCGAAGCUGCGGCAGCGANNUGCUGGAGGUAUCAGAAGUGCGAAUGCUGACAUAAGUAACGAUAAAGCGGGUGAAAAGCCCGCUCGCCGGAAGACCAAGGGUUCCUGUCCAACGUUAAUCGGGGCAGGGUGAGUCGACCCCUAAGGCGAGGCCGAAAGGCGUAGUCGAUGGGAAACGGGUUAAUAUUCCCGUACUUGGUGUUACUGCGAAGGGGGGACGGAGAAGGCUAUGUUGGCCGGGCGACGGUUGUCCCGGUUUAAGCGUGUAGGUGUGUGUUCCAGGUAAAUCCGGUUCACUUUAACACUGAGGCGUGACGACGAGGCACUACGGUGCUGAAGCAACAAAUGCCCUGCUUCCAGGAAAAGCCUCUAAGCAUCAGGUAACAUCAAAUCGUACCCCAAACCGACACAGGUGGUCAGGUAGAGAAUACCAAGGCGCUUGAGAGAACUCGGGUGAAGGAACUAGGCAAAAUGGUGCCGUAACUUCGGGAGAAGGCACGCUGACACGUAGGUGAAGUGAUUUACUCAUGGAGCUGAAGUCAGUCGAAGAUACCAGCUGGCUGCAACUGUUUAUUAAAAACACAGCACUGUGCAAACACGAAAGUGGACGUAUACGGUGUGACGCCUGCCCGGUGCCGGAAGGUUAAUUGAUGGGGUCAGCGCAAGCGAAGCUCCUGAUCGAAGCCCCGGUAAACGGCGGCCGUAACUAUAACGGUCCUAAGGUAGCGAAAUUCCUUGUCGGGUAAGUUCCGACCUGCACGAAUGGCGUAAUGAUGGCCAGGCUGUCUCCACCCGAGACUCAGUGAAAUUGAACUCGCUGUGAAGAUGCAGUGUACCCGCGGCAAGACGGAAAGACCCCGUGAACCUUUACUAUAGCUUGACACUGAACAUUGAGCCUUGAUGUGUAGGAUAGGUGGGAGGCUUUGAAGCGUGGACGCCAGUCUGCAUGGAGCCGACCUUGAAAUACCACCCUUUAAUGUUUGAUGUUCUAACGUGGACCCGUGAUCCGGGUUGCGGACAGUGUCUGGUGGGUAGUUUGACUGGGGCGGUCUCCUCCUAAAGAGUAACGGAGGAGCACGAAGGUUGGCUAAUCCUGGUCGGACAUCAGGAGGUUAGUGCAAUGGCAUAAGCCAGCUUGACUGCGAGCGUGACGGCGCGAGCAGGUGCGAAAGCAGGUCAUAGUGAUCCGGUGGUUCUGAAUGGAAGGGCCAUCGCUCAACGGAUAAAAGGUACUCCGGGGAUAACAGGCUGAUACCGCCCAAGAGUUCAUAUCGACGGCGGUGUUUGGCACCUCGAUGUCGGCUCAUCACAUCCUGGGGCUGAAGUAGGUCCCAAGGGUAUGGCUGUUCGCCAUUUAAAGUGGUACGCGAGCUGGGUUUAGAACGUCGUGAGACAGUUCGGUCCCUAUCUGCCGUGGGCGCUGGAGAACUGAGGGGGGCUGCUCCUAGUACGAGAGGACCGGAGUGGACGCAUCACUGGUGUUCGGGUUGUCAUGCCAAUGGCACUGCCCGGUAGCUAAAUGCGGAAGAGAUAAGUGCUGAAAGCAUCUAAGCACGAAACUUGCCCCGAGAUGAGUUCUCCCUGAGACUUAGAGUCUCCUGAAGGAACGUUGAAGACGACGACGUUGAUAGGCCGGGUGUGUAAGCGCAGCGAUGCGUUGAGCUAACCGGUACUAAUGAACCGUGAGGCUUAACCUUACAACGCCGAAG
rnacentral:rRNA from 1 species